AUCCUUUUGUAGUUCAUAAGCAUGUUGACUGGGUUUCAUGUGGUUGUGUGAGAUGUGCCACCCAUAAACCUUACUACAUUGGCACAUUACCCAUCUGAAG
ensembl:snoRNA